UCAAGGAAAGAGGAAAUAAUCCAGAAAAGGAAAACAAAUCAAGAUGUGUAGAUCUGUGGCCGUCAGGUUGUGGUUUUUGACAGAUCGUUGCAUGAGGGAAGACUAUCCCCAAAAAGAGAUCUUACAAGCUUUGAAGGCCAAAUGUUGUGAGGAGGAGCUGGACUUCAGGGCGGUAGUGAUGGAUGAGGUGGUAUUGACAAUUGAGCAAGGAAACCUGGGUCUACAGAUCAAUAGAGAACUAAUCUCUGCUUACCCCCAGGUGGUGGUAGUGAGAGUUCCAACCCCUUGGGUGCAAAGAGAUAGUGACAGCACUGUUUUGCACCAUGUAGAGAAGAUGGAAUGCAGAUUGAUGAACCCACCUCAAGCCAUCCUGAACUGUGUUAAUAAAUUCUGGACAUUUCAAGAGUUAGCUGGCCAUGGAGUUCCUCUACCAGAUACUUUCUCUUAUGGUGGCUAUGAUAAUUUUGCUAAAAUGAUUGAUGAAGCAGAAGUACUGGAGUUCCCAAUGGUAGUGAAGAAUACAAGGGGUCAUAGAGGCAAAGCUGUCUUUUUGGCAUGGGAUAAGCACCAUUUGGCUGAUCUAAGCCAUCUUAUUCGUCAUGAAGCUCCAUACCUGUUCCAGAAGUAUGUUAACGAGUCUCAUGGGCAGGACAUGCAUGUCAUUGUUGUGGGAGGCCAUGUGGUUGGAACCAUGUUACGUUGCUCAACAGACGGGAGGAUGCAAAGCAACUGCUCAUUAGGUGGUGUGGAGAUGCUGUGCUCAUUGAGUGAACAAGGGAAGCAGCUAGCCAUCCAGGUGUCUAAUAUUCUGGGCAUGGAUGUGUGUGGCAUUGACCUGUUGAUGAAAGAUGACGGCUCCUUCUGUGUCUGCGAGGCCAAUGCAAAUGUAGGUUUCAUCACCUUUGAUAAGGCUUGUAAUCUAGAUGUAGCUGGUAUCAUAGCGGACUAUGCCGCCUCCCUUCUGCCCUCUGGCCAGCUCACCCGGCAUAUGUCCCUGCUCUCCAUGGUGUCCACGGCCAGUGAAACUAGUGAGCCAGAGCUGGGUACCCCAGCCAACACUGCUGUUGACAACAUGAGUGCACGUUCCAGCUCUGUCAACAGUGACACUGAAAGCAUGGAGAGAGAGCUGUUCACCAAGCUCCCAGGAGGCCUGUUCAACAUGAACCAGAUGCUAGCCAAUGAAAUCAAACUCCUGGUGGAGUGA